GGCGUUUUGGCCGAGUGGUCUAAGGCGUUAGCUUCAGGUUCACAGCUUCUAGCAUGUGUUCGCUAAUCCGAAAGGGCGUGGGUUCGAAUCCCACAGACGUCA
rnacentral:tRNA from 1 species